ACACCAUUCAUGCACUUCUCAUUAACUACCAAAUAGCUUCAUUUGGAGUAACUUUUUGUCCAUUGCUAUGAGAGAUAAUCUGAGCUGAAGAUCAAAGAAGAAGACUUUGUAUUUACUGACACUCUCCUCCCUUAUCCAUACAAUCCCUCUGGUCUCUGUUUUUUGAGCUAAUACAUGGUUUGUUCCAGGCUGUGGGGCACGUAGAAACAGAGGUUCAGACCACCCACAUCCACAGUGCGUCUGGGGAUGCUGGAAUUACACGAAGCUGAGGUAUAGCUAGAUUAAAGGCCAUUUGGAAGGGGAGGAGACACAAGCCAUCCUAGUGUGUUUUACAGGAGAACAGUGGCUCAGUGGAUGGAGCACUUUGCCUGAAUUCAGGAAGAUCAGAGGUCAAAACUGGCCUCAAACACUUAAUAGCGGUGUGACCUUGGCAACAUAAUCUGGAAAAACAAAAUGAAAGUGGAACAACCUCCAGGAAUUGAUGCAGAGUGAGAGAAGCAGAACCAGGAGAACAAUGUACACAGAAACUGAUACACUGUGGCACAAUUGAAUGUAACUGACUUUUCUACCAGCAGCAAUGCAAUGAUCUAGGACAAUUCUGAGGGACUUAGAGAAAGAACACUAUCCACAUCCAGAGGAAGAACUGUGGGAGCAGAAACGCAGAAGAAAAACAUGUGCUUGAUCACAUGGUAUGAUUAGGGUUUUGCUGUUAAAAAAUCACUCUAUUGCAAAUAUGAAUAACAUGGAAAUAGGUUUUGAACAAUAAUACAUGUAUAACCUAGUGGAAUUGCUUGUCAUCUUUGGGAGGGGGGAGGAGAAAGUGGGAGGAGGGGAAUCAUGAAUCAUGUAAACUUGGAAAAAUAUUCUAAAUAAAAAUAAAAUAAAAUGAAAG
rnacentral:lncRNA from 1 species